AUUGAACGCUGGCGGCAUGCCUUACACAUGCAAGUCGAACGGCAGCACGGGAGCAAUCCUGGUGGCGAGUGGCGAACGGGUGAGUAAUAUAUCGGAACGUGCCCAGUCGUGGGGAUAACGUAGCGAAAGCUACGCUAAUACCGCAUACGAUCUAUGGAUGAAAGCGGGGGAUCGCAAGACCUCGCGCGAUUGGAGCGGCCGAUAUCAGAUUAGGUAGUUGGUGAGGUAAAGGCUCACCAAGCCGACGAUCUGUAGCUGGUCUGAGAGGACGACCAGCCACACUGGGACUGAGACACGGACCAGACUCCUACGGGAGGCAGCAGUGGGGAAUUUUGGACAAUGGGCGCAAGCCUGAUCCAGCAAUGCCGCGUGCAGGAUGAAGGCC
rnacentral:rRNA from 1 species